GUCAGGAUGGCCAAGCGGUAUAAGGCACUGCAUUCAGGUUGUAGUCUCCUCUGGAGGUGUGGGUUCAAAUCCCUCCUCUGACA
rnacentral:tRNA from 1 species